GAUACAACAGAAGGAAGAGACACCAUCCAAUGGAACAGAAGCAUUAAAUGCACAGAACUGUAUGCUACUAAUCAGACCUAAACUUUCUGACAGCACUAUCAAAAAAGUAUUUUUUUCCACCAGGAUCUCCUCCAGUUGCUGCUGUUUCUGUGUUGUUUGACUUCUGUUUCUUCUUGUUCCUGUUAACAUGUGUAGCAUCUCAGCAGUUUCCUGAAUUCGAAGCGUAACUAACAAGACUCAGGUACAGCAAAACCUUCAUAACCUAGCAGCUAGGGAGGUGAUUAGAAGGUCUCUUCUCUAUCUAAAUGCUAUCACUCCAGAUUAAAAAAAAAAAAUAACAGAUUUCUGUAAUGACGCUAACUGUGAAUUUGUGGUGAUUGUGAAGCUGCUGCUUAUCAUAGAAUGGCUUGGACUGGAAGAGACCUCAAAGAUCAUCUAAUUCCCUCUACUGCAGACAGGGUUGCCAACCACUGGAUCAGGCACUUCAUCAGGUUGAAAGGCCUCUCCAGAAAGUAUUUUCUGGGGAAACAUCUCCUUUCAGUGGUCAACAUGGGGACACGGAUUUGUAAAUGAAUGAUUUCCACAUUCACAAAGGUUUUGCAAAUGAACUCUGGGAGAAUCAGAAAUAUUGACUUCUACAGUUGAAACACUGAUAUGAACCAAAUAAUAUUAUUGCCAGCUACCUGGCAUCAGGCAUCUGUUCAUAUAUGAGGGGCUGGCAUGCAAGUAGCAGAAAACGGUUUGUUUGGGUUCAAGCAUAGCACUGUCAAAGAAGAAAAUCAAAAACCUUUUAGGACUUGUUCUCUUCUAUGAGGAUUUGGAAAUCAGACUAUUUUCUGGGCUGUGGAGUGAUGACAGCAGUCCAGGAAUUCCUGCUGAGUCUGGACUUCUCCCUCAAGACUACUUUUAAGCAACCUGCCAGAAGCUGAUCCUUUCCUUCUCCCUUGUGUGGUUGGUUUUGUUUUUGUUUUUUGUUGUUGUUGUUUUGUUUUGUUUUGUUUUUUUGUGGUUUUUUUUUUUGAAAUUUAAAUCAGCUCUGCACUUUUGGUCAUUCCUGACUCUCUCUUUCAUGCUGGUUGGUUCUGGCUGGAUGAUUCUCUAUAGUGGACCAGGUAUGGGAAGCAGGUAAAAUCCAUGGCAGCCCUGAAACCCAGCUCCUAGUCCUAGGCCCUAGCAGAGGAAAAAGUGCUUAGACUAUUAAAUUCAUUUCUUCAUUUCUGAUUCUGUGCUGAAAAUUUACGAAGACUCUUUUUCUUUUUUUAAAGCAUUCAGAACAAAAGUAUUAGGAUGAUAGUUUCAAACCAAAAGCUAGGUCAUAGUGCAUGUCAAGCCACGAUCAAAGCCUUGAGGAGUUGUGAAAGAGGAAAAACUAGGAAGGAGACCUGGGUCUGAUGAGGCUGCUGUGGGAGGAGAGCUGCAUGAGAGAUUCUUGUGGUUCUCCAUCCCUCUAGGGUGGUUGUUUAACUAUGGGGUGACACUGGAAGAAGAGAAGACCUAAUCGUGAAUAGGCACCAUUGGAAGCACACACAUUUGUACCGAGGAGUGGGACUGCAACAGCUGAAAACUUGCUGUCUGUUGGAAUCAAAAGGGGAGCCAUUACAGGUGGCCAAGAGGACAUCUUCACUGCUCAUGCUGCCAGUUCAAGCAGGUGCAGCAUUAUAGAAAACAGCCCUGUGUUGUGGAGAUAAUACAGUGAAAAAGCCAUGGAUAAGGCUCUGUAUAGCUAUGUUAGUAUUUUUUCAUGUGUGUGGUAUGCCUUUCUGCAUGGGAUUGGCUGAACAGGGACAUGCCAACAUGUCCUGCCUGGCUCCAGUCUCCAGCAGCCAUUGGUGCUGGAUCCCUGGAAAAGGAGUAGUAAGGUAGUAUGGUGUGCAGCUCAGGGACUUUCUAAGCCUCAGAUAACACCUUUGUAUUUAACGGCCCUUGACAGAUUUCUUUUCUCCUGUGAGUUUAUUCAGCCUUUCUUGAAUUGCUGCAAACCUCUAGCACCUGCAUCAUAUUGCAGCAGCGGAAUCUGUGGUAGAGUGCUUAUUGAAUAACUGCGUCCAGCAACCAGCUUCAGGGCUGGGGUGAGCCUCUGCACCGGGGAACGCCAGCUCGUAGGCAAUUAACCCACAACUGACUGCCUUCGCCCGGGCCGCUCCAGGCCCUUCGAUCGCUUCGCGAGGAAAUCGCCCCUCAGCGGCGCCCCUGGGCGGGCGGCCCCGCGGCGGGUCCCUAGGUGGCGGUGCCCGCCCGCGCUCGGCGUCAGCACCGGUCUGUGAGGGGCCGGGAAGGGCGGGAAGCUGCCAGAAGCUGCGCUGCCUCCUUGGUGGCCCGUGGUUGUCUUUGUGUAUGUAAACAGGCCGGGGUGUAUUCUUCCAUCAGUCGUUAUUCCAUCGGUUUUCAAACCUAUAUAAACUUUUGGUAUCCUUGGAGUCUUGUGGUAAAUAUUCAGAGCUGAACUGUAAGCCGCUUGAAGGGGGAUCUCCUUUUCCUUGCUUUGAACUCAUUACCUCCUGGCUUUAUUUAAUAAAUGUGGCUCAGGUAUUCUCCCGGUGCUUUCUCGAUCACCUCACACAUUCCUGUCAGCGUUGUUGAUUUUCCUCAACGUGUUCCACAGAAACCUGGCUCUGAAAACAGGCUACCCUUACAGGUGGCUGACAACCUAACUUGAAAGCCCUGAGUAUGUGAGAAGGGUCUGCUUUCUCCGUACUUGGGAUAAAAAGAAAAGAGAGCAAGUGAAAACCACCUGCUUUUCCCAUUAAGGCCCCUGGGAACCAUCCCUUCCCACAGGCUUUCUGGGAAAUAACUCAGGAGCCUGGGAUCGAACCUUCUCCUUUCAGGGAGCUGCUGUUCUCUCACCCUGGGACAGAGGAGGGAGUAGAGGUGCCAGGAGGGAGGUGGGCAGCACUGCUCCACAGCAGUGCAGGCAAGUGAUGGCCACAGACAGGGUGCACUGCAGGCAUUGAGGAGGUGGGGAAGCACUGUGGAGAGGGUCAGGAGAGACCCCUUCUAGUAUGCAGAGUGCAGGGGAUGGCAAAGACAGAGGGACGGUUUGUAGGGGCACAGCGAUGGGUCUGUGAUCUGACAGGUUUGUGUUGCUUACUCUUCCUCGUGACUUGCACAGAUGCUAAAUCCAGGUCUGCUAAGCAUGCCACACCACUGUGGCCCCAAAACCAUUGCUAACAAAUAUCCCUUUCCACAGCAUCCAGGGCAGGGUACUUCCUCUACAACUUCUGCAGAUGUGGAGCAGGGCUCUCAAACUCACCAGGAAGGCCUGUUUGCAUUUCAGCAAGGUUUUUCCAGUUAGGAAAAAAAAGAAACAAAAACCAACACAAACUUUUGUGCCCACUAUCUUGGGGAGAAAAACAGGGAAGAGGAAUGUUCAGGGGCACAACGCAAGCUGACUGUGCGCUGUUUAUGAGUUCCUGUGGCUUACGUACAGAUGGAGGCUUGAUGGGAGGCAGUGCAUUGCACUAGUGGAAAGCAGAAAUGAUGAAGGUGAGUUAAGCUGAGCCCAGAUCACCGGAGGAUGACUGUGUAGUUUCGUGAAGCCUUUUCUGUGGUUAAGAUCGUGACAUAAAUGCAAUAAAGAGCAUGGUGUGUAUUGCUCAACUUUAACCGCACUGAGUGAGGCACAGUCAAAAAGAUCUCCACAAACUUCCCGAAACUUGAACAGAUAAUGCUUAAAUAACUUUGAGUAUUUCCCCUGUGCUGUUACAGGAGGUUGGUCAGGAGUGGAGCCCUUCCUUCAACCCCUCAAGAUGAUCCAGAUUAGUGACGCCCGGGUCUUGGUGGGUUUGGGGACAGACCCUAUUUGAAGGGAAGAAAAGGUGAAACUGGGUGACGACAAUAAUCAACUCCUUAGCCAGAUGCUACAAUGAGAAAGUUCUGUGCAGAUGCCUUCUGAGUGACAGUGAUGUGCCUGAAGAAGAAAUGACAGGAAGCAGAGCAGGGACUUGAUUGAGGGGAGCAUGAGCAAUGCUAAUCCUGCUGCAUUUCACAAUGACACAGGCUCUCCUGGGCAGUAUUUCCAGAUGGCAUGGGUCUCGUCUCUCAUUCUUUGUGUGUUUGUCUUCUCUUUCAAGAAAUUGUCCAGAGAAAUAAUCACACUGAGAUAAAAAUCUGCUGAAGUGUGAGUGCUGCAGCCAAUGACAGUGAGAACCAGGACAAGGGAAGGCAUGUAAUGUUAGCUUGUUAUUUUCCUACCCAUGGAAGACAAUGGCUGCUCAUUGAGUCCUCUCCUGCUUUGGUAUGGCUCAUUUAUUCACUGAUGCAGCCCAGGUGUGGCUAGGCAAGAUGAUGGGUUUGGCAGUGCUGACUGGUGAAGGAAGGCACAUUGCAAGGCAAAUGCACCAAGGAGAAAUCUUAGAGGCCUGGAGAAUGCAAGGCAGCUUUCCAUUUUCUGCUAAUGUGAAGUUACACUGAUGUUGAAGGAAAUCUGAUGGAAUCAGAAAAACCUUACCAGAAUUGUGUUUCUUGGGUGGUGUUCUACAUUGUUCUGUCAAGGCUGAUGGUAGUGACUGUGAAACAGAGUGUUCCGCUCAAGCUGCAUAACUGUAUAGCCUGGGGAAAACACACUUUUGGUCUGCUGGACUGACUGAUAGUGAACUGGAAAGCUCAGGGAAGAUGUGCUCAGUUUUGUGCCCCUUACUACAUGAAGGACAUUGAAUUGUUUGAAUGUGUGCAGAGAAGACCAAUGAAGCUGGUGAAGGGACUACAAAAGGCAUUAUGAGGAGUGGUGAGGAAACUGGGGCUGUUUAAUCUGGAGAGGAGUCUUAGAGGAGACUUCCUUGCUCUACAGCUACCUGAAAGGAGGUUGUAAUGAAGUGGGGGUCGGCCUCUUCUCCCAGGUAACAAUGAUAGAAUGUGAGAAAAUGGUCCCAAGAAGGUUUAGAAUGGAUAUUUGGAAGAAUUUCUUCAUGGAGUGGCUAGGCAUUGAAACAGUCUGCCCAGGGAAGUCUUCAUUCCUGGAGGUAUUUAAGAGAUGUGUGGAUGUGGCAGUAAGACAUAUGGCUUAGUGGUGCUGCUUGGUAGGUCAGAUAGAUGAUUGAACUUGAUGAUCUUAAAGAUCUUUUCCAACCUAAAUAUUUCUCUGUUUCUCUGACAGGGAAGAUAGUCUGAUUCCUUCUCUAAUUUCCCUUCCAAUAGGUUGAAUUUUCUAGGGUCUUGCCAUAGACAUCUAGGCAAAAUCAGGAAAAGGAGAGUUCUCAUGGUUUCUUAGGAUAUCAAUCGUUACAGUGUGAAUUGUUUGUUCCGUUGCACAUUGGGGUUUGUUUUGUAUUUGUAUCUUAUUGACAGAAAAGACCAUUAUGGCCCGGAGAUGGGAAGGAGAGGUGAUACAGGGAUUCUGCUUGAAAUCCUAUCCUUCAGGCAAUCAGAUGUUGCAGACACACGUCAUGUUUCCUUCAGACUGGGAUCAUUCAGUGCUGCCUGAAAUAGGAUAUGAGGAAAAUUCUUUGCCAGAGAUACCAGCUACUGUCAUCAAUACUGCCCAUCCAACACAGGCUACAGUGCCGUGUUCGUAGUUUAAACUCUUGGAGAAAAGUCUACCUUGCCUUCCACCCAAACCUGGGUUUUCAAACAGACUUUGGAACAGCUGUGUAGCUGGUUGAAAAAAACAUUCCACCUUCGUCAUCUUCGAGAAGCACCAGAUUUACCCUGCCUGUGUCUUGGAGUAUACAUGCUCACCCCAGUAAGGAUCCUUCAAGAGGUAACAGUACAUUAUACCUUGUCUAAAAAUGACACUUGAACCUCAGGCUUUUUUUUUUUAACUCUAUGUUGCAUGUAAGUACCUCGCAGCUGACUUUCAGCCACACUGCAGUUUUGUUUCAAGUUGGAAGAGUGAAACUACAAGGGUGGUAACUUAUGGAAAGGCUGGAUCCUCUAUGAGUGUUGUUAUCCUCCUAAACAGUCUGGUGGCAGUUAAAUUGUAAUAAAUAAUAUAAUCAUGACAAUGUGAUGAUGAUUUGCAUGUAAAUGUGAUGUAGAUUUAAGUGCACAUAAUGAUUAAUUUAUAGAACUAAUUGCUUCCAUGUAUAAUAUGGUACAUAACUGGAUAUUGUUUAGGACAUUCUUGGGGAAAUGAAUACAGAAAACUGGGGAAAUGGAGUACUAAAAAGCAUGUUUGAGGAGUGACUCUUUGGAGUUGUUUUUCCACAGAGUGAAGAUCAUCAGUGUCAUGUCAGUGUAGGAAAAGUAGACAAUGGUCUCCGAGCUGUUUCUGUCCUGUGGUUUGGCUGCUUUGAGUUCUGUGGCAAGAAAAGGCCUUUAGAUCAUAUCCUAAUGGAGAGUUACAUCGUGUUUCCUAAUUUCUCUACUGGUCCCAUUUGGUUAUCUCGCACUAAGAGUCAGAAGGGUUCCAAUUCAAACAGAAGAAAAAUGUCCUGGCUAACAGCAAAGCACGUGUUUUGUUGGUCUUCCUCAACUUGCCUUGACUAUUGCUAAAGCUGGAGUAGACAACAUACUGAACAUCUAGUGAAGGGAUAUGUCUUCACGUAACACUUCUCAGAGAAUGGAUAGCUGCUAGAGGCUAUACUGAAGUUCAGUCAUACCACAAAUCAAAACAACAGUAAUUUUAUGCUCCUCUAGAAAGAGCUAUGUUGUUAUUUUGAGCUGUUUGUGCCCUCCCGGACUGUGGGCUGGGCUGGUCUCUCUCUGAGGGGAUUAUGCAACCUCCCAAAACUUGGAGGAGGCCUCUAAAAGGUUCCUUGGAUUCACACCAGAAUGUCAUAGUGAGUUUCUAACAUCUGUUUCCACAUAGGUGUACAGGAGCAUGCUGAGUGCCUGGCCCUCACGUGCUGAUGGCAGCACCUUUAGAUGUUAAAUUUGGGCUGGGAGGAGGUGGAGUGGUGAUGCCGUUUCAGGCAGCUGCUGCUCAGUUUUUGCUCUUGGUGAGGGAAGAGCAGGCUCUCACUUGCUCACAUGGGGAAUGGUCUUUCCCACAGAGCAGCUGGAAGUAACCCCCUUGAGCUUUGACCUGGUGCCAGCCCUUUCUCUCAGAUGUCCUUGGUGGGCCCUUGUGGGAUGGGAUGAGGGUCCCACAGCAGACGUGUAAGGGGGCUGAGGGUGCAGGGUGUUGAGGGUGCUUUGAAUGAUCUCUUAUGGGAAUUCUGUCUUCUGUCCUUGACGAGAACUGCAUGUUGGAAAUGCCUGAGAGCUGGUGGUGGCAUCCCAGCCGUCCAUGGGGAGAUACCAUGAGGAGGAGUCCUGCAACUUCUGUCAGCGGGAAAUCCCUCCCUGGGGGCUGUGGGAAAUCAGUGCGAACCCCAUAAUGAACACUGGGGAUGCGGUUUGCUUUGUUUCCCAAUCAAGUCACUGUCAGCACUUCUCACUCCAUUCUUCCACACUGAGUCGGCCCAUCCCACUGGUGACGCUAUACCUUGAACGUUGUUGUCCUCUCACCACAGGGAAACUUCCUACACUGCUGCAGAGCUUCCCUGGGUUUAGGUUGGGAGAACCAGAGGUUAUGGCAGCUACUGGAGCUAGAUCACCAUUGUGCCAUGACAUUCCCAUUGAGAAAGUCUGUAGUGAGCUGAAUAAUGGGAUGUGGCAGUGUCCCACUGGGGCUGCAGAGCAGGGCUUGCAACAGUGACUGGUGUGGCAAAGGGGCUGUGUGCAGCCAUCCCCUUCCCACCCUGCAGACUGAACUUGGUGGUGGCUGUUUGGGAUUGUGUUUUGAUGCCUGGCACUUCUCCAGGUGACUGGUAAGUGCCUAGUGACGUGUGCUCUGAUUGGGAUGGACAGAGAUUGUUCUAACAUCCCAACUUGCAGCUUACAUCUGUAGGAAAUCCCAUAAACAAACUCACCUCUGGAGUGAGCUGCUGCAUUUGGUUUAUUUCCACUUCCCUACUCUUUUGUGGGGAAUUGGAGGAUUUUACCAAAAGCUGCAGGUUUUCAUAAGCAAACUAGUAAUCUCAUCAGGAGCUUCAUGAAUUCAGUGGAUGUGGAUAUAGUUAGCUAUGGAUAGGCACAGGUCAACAAAACCAGAAGGUAAAAGAUGCACUGGAAGGGUGACACAUCCAGUUACCACUAAGACUUUUCUUUUAACUCUCUUUCUCUUUCUUUCUCAAAUCCAGAUCUGUUCUGGCUCCCUCAGACCACUAGUACUGCUAGGUGUUGUUGGGAUUUGCUGGGAUGUGUGUGCUUUUUGUUGAGUGUUUAUCAAAUCUCAUAUUCCUUAAUCCUGAAGUGUUCCUGUCUGUAUAGCGAAAUCUAUCUGAAUUAAUUCUACUGAUAAGACUGGAGUAUGAAUUUCCUCCCUGCAUAACAGUCUGAGGGUCUCAUCUUAUUGAAUCACAAGUUUCUGACUUGGGAGUGGAGGUGCACAUGUGUGGGGGCGUCUGAGAUGGACUCUUGCCAUCACUGGGCACAAAUAUUUCCUUUGUAAUGCAGAAUACCCCAAAGGGUUUCAAAUGAACUGCAUCCUGACUCCCUCUACACACAGGCACAGGGGUCUGCCAUUAUGCUUUUUGCAGAAACCACAUUUCUAAUUUGCUGUUUAAAAAAAGGCGCAGUACAUCAACUGGUUUAUAACAGAGCAAACACUGUUUGUUAAAUCCUAUGCAGGUAAACAGCUCAUUUCCUUCCUGCUCUAUUGUUAAACCUCGUAACUCAAAAUCCGGUCACCUUAUUUCACAUUUUUUGGAGGUCGGAGGUAGGUGCCUGUUAUUUAAUGUCAAAAAAUGCUAUUGCUUAGAGCAUUUUAUAUUUUUGAAUGCUUGCAGACUUCUUUGCUAACAAAUGCUGGUAAACUGAAUGUAAUGUAUUUUCUUGCUGUUUGCAGUGCAUCUUCGUCAGAUGUCCAGCAAGCUUUCGUGUCAGGGGUGCCACAAAAUGAAAGCACUCUGUCCCUUUGGAUAGUAAAGUUCAAAGGGAAAAUCACCCUAGAACACUGCUAUAAAUUCAUUCUUAUAUUUUGAUUCUAUUACCAUAUGAUAAAGGACAGACUACUGUCCACUGAUAUGCAGUAGGAAAUGAAGGAGAUGAUGGACAUUGAGCUAUACAGAGGAAUUCCUACUGGCCAUAGUCAGCACAGCUGGCUACAGCACAUUUACUGGAAGAGGUUUUGGUGUCUGCCAAGUAGAUGAAGUUGAUGUCUAGGCAUCCAGAAAGCCCCAUGUGGCUCAAACUGAAUACUUAUUUACUCACCCCACAAACAAACAAACAGUAUCCCUACAUACAGGGAGAAGAGUCUGAUAAAUGUAGCUAUUUUCCCUGUAUGAGAUUUGUAACUCUUAUGGGAAGCAAUUGUUUUUGCUUCCUGCAGGUCUAGAUAAGAUUUCAUAGGAAGUGCUUCAAUAUGGUAUUGGUAACGGUAGUCUGUUCUGACAGUAGGAAGCAAUGGCUAAUUAAUACUGAAUCAAAAGAUGGUUACGAAAGGGCUGCUGACAAUCACGUAGUUUUCUCAUGCAUCAACAUCUGUUUGCUCCAGUUGGGCCAAGCCUUCCCAUUUCUGUAUUAAUUCUUGGGCUGAGUCAGUCCAAGUGAGUUGCAUAAAAUUUUGCCCAGUGAGCUUUUUAACAUUAUUACUAAACUGUGGUUAGUAAUAGCUUUAGUAUAUUUUUCCUUAAAAAUCAUUAUGUUCCAGUAUAGCAGGAAGGUUUUCUCUCUAGAGUGGAAAGUGUUUGAAGGAAACACAGUUGAGACAUGCUAAGAGCUGACUUCUACGUCAAUGUGGAGGACAGAGUGACAGCUGGAGGAGGACCGAGUUUUUUUGGGUUAAAAUCACAGACGUUACAUGGGAAGGGGGGACAGGAAUAUUUAAGGAGGGAUGAAAAUGAAAAUUUGUCUGAUUUUGAGUUAGAAAUCAGAGGAAGAACUGAGCCUGAGGGCAAGUCUAGGGCUGUAGUUCUGGACAGGUAGUCAACCAGAAAGCCAUACUGCAGAAGGGCAGACAAUAUCCCUUAAGGCUGUAGUGUGCUCACACCAGGUUAUGCAGUCAAGGUUUUUCACCUAAUCAGUGACUCACAAAAUUAUCUUCUUGUCUGUGCUGUUUUCCCCUUGCAGAGUUGCAUGACUUUCUGCAGAGUUCUGCAGCUCCCGUAGGUGAGAUGCCAAUAUGUCUGUCUGCAGGUAUUCAAUGGUUUGAAAAGGAAAGAAGGAUUGCUUUGAAGCUAAGUAUUAAACAUUAGUUCUAGCUUUUUAACUGUUUCUGCCAUUGCUUUCCUGUCUUUGGCCUCAAAAUAGCAGAGGUUAGUGCCCACCCAGAGCUGUGGGCAUCCACUGCCUUACAACCAGCAGCUCAGAUUAUGCCUGUCUCCACAAAAACUGCUAGAGCUACCAAAUGCAAUGCUUUCAGCCUACUUCUGGUCACGGGAAGAGUUUUCCAAGGUCUACAGACCAUCAGAGGCCUCUGUAAUCCCAAAGAGCUGGCACUCCUUUUGGAUGCUGGUAUGCAAAAUGUUGACCUCUAACACAGAAAACUGCUAUCAGAUAGGACCUUCAUAACUAAUGCCACUUAAAACAUCCCAGCUAGAAAAGUUAUUGAUGCGAUAACUAGGAAAGACCUCUGUCAAUACCUAACUAUAAGUUGCAGUCUAUUCAGCCCCAAGUUUACAGUUGAGAAAAAUAUGACUCAAGAGCCCUCAAUUGGCUGACAAAUAAUAAACACUGCUAGAAUCGGGGGCCAGGUUGGAUUCCAAGAUAUGGCAACAGAUGGGUCAGGUGGAUGGACCUCCCGAUCAGUGGGGCAGCAGUAAACUCUACCACCUUCCAACUGGCUAGUGGCAGUGGAACUCUGGCCAAGGGUGUAGGUAGCAAGACAACAGGAGCCACAAGUCACCCAGGCUGCCAUCAGGGUAAAUAAAGGCUGCUGUAAAAUGCACACGCAACCCAACAAAAACUGUUUCCCAGUCUUAUUAAUAAGGUUAUUUAGGCAUAAAAUGUCAGAUGGCCUGAUUCUGUAUGUUAAACAGGUGUUUCUUGAAGGGAAAAGUCUUUGAGAGAGUGAUUGCUAGCAUUUACUGAUGGCAGGACAAGAGGUUCCUCACCUGCUGCCACCAGCAGCCCUGAGUUGGGAGUGUGCCACAGGGCUUGGGUUGUAGUGUCACUAUACUGACACUGAGUAUAGCUUGGGAGUUCAAAAUAAAGCAAUUAAAAUUCCCUUUGAAAUAUUUGUGAAAAGAAUGAAGGUACUUCAGGAACCAAGCAAGGCAGAAUGAGAAAGAAAAAAAACAGUAGUCUUCCCGUGGUUUUCAGGAUAAACUUUUCAGUCUUCAGAUCAUCUUCAUUUAUUUUGUAUAAUAGAGCUCAAUUGCAAAUCCAGGUGAUUAACAAUUCCCUAAUUAUCUGUUAUAGUCAGGCGGGAGCCAGAGCAAAGUAAAGGUAACUUAAUACUAUUCCUUUCUAAUUUUAUUAAGAUUGAUUAUUGAAUAAUCUAUUGCUUAAAACAGAAUUACAACUUCAGAGAGUUGAACUCAGAGAAAGUGAACUGUUCAGUCUUGUACUUUAUGCUAAAGCAUAAUUCAAAUCUAUGAACAUUAUUCAGAAGGGAGCAAUAUUAAAUCCCCUUAACCCUUUGUCCCCUCAAAAUCACAAGCAGAUUAGAAAACUGAGCCAGAUGUUGGCUUUUCUCUUUUUUCCACAGAAAGCUGACUCAUGAAAUUUUGAAAUGAUAAAACCUUUGCCAGGAUGCUGUUGACAUGAGUAAUAAUUAACCAUAGAAUCAUAUAAUCACCAGGGUUGGGAAAGACCCACAGGAUCACCCAGUCCAACCAUCCACCCAUCACCAAUAGUUCUCACUAAACCAUGUCCCUCAACACAACGUCCAAACGUUCCUUGAACACCUCCAGGGUCGGUGACUCCACCACCUCCCUGGGCAGCCCAUUCCAGUGCCUGACCACCCUUUCAGAGAAGUAGUAUUUCCUAACGUCCAGCCUCAACCUUCCCUGGCACAGCUUGAAGCCGUUCCCUCUAGUCCUAAAAAAUAAAAAUAAAAAAUUAGAACAAUUAGCUGUAGUUAGUGCAUUAUAUAACCUUUCUUUUACUGGUACUAAAAUGUAGGUGUUGAGAUAGCUAUCCCUGAUGGCACCAGUAUGAAAUAUUCUUUGAAGAAAAAGGCUGGAUCUGGAAAAAUUGAAAUUUACAGAUGAAAAUCUUAGAUUUUCAGCAACUUCUUUCCUCCUUCCCCAGUUUUCAAGAAACAAGAAAUCCAAUGUUUAAAAGCCAAAUUUGAAAAGGAAAAAAAAAAUGUUGUGGCCAGAAAUCAGAAACCAUAAACAUUUAGCUGCACUGUGCCCUGAAACUUACUAUUCUAAGGUUCUUGGAGACAACAGCUGCAUGAGUGUAAGCUGAACUCUGAAGACUGAGGUACAUCAGGCACAUCUAUUCCUCUGUCAUUUUGCUGCUUUUGGCUGUUCUGUACAAACUUGCUUUGCCAUCGAAUGAGUACCCCUCAGAUGGAUAUAUUAUAGUAUGAGGAAAACUCACCAUCUGUUUCCCAGUAGGUGCAGUGACUAUAUAGACUAAAGCCGACGAAAAGUUAAACAAGAAAAUCUAAAUGUCAAUAUUUAGACUCUGGAUAAUGAAACUCCUUCAAACACAUCAGGGCAUGCUAAAUACUCCUUCAAUAACUCAAAUAUACCCAAGGAAUAUCCAAACACUUUUUUGAAGUGCACCCCUAGGUCUGUAUUGUUUUUCAGAUUGACUCGUUCAGAAAGAUUGAAUAUUGCCUGGAGCAGAGGCUGGGAUUUGUUUAACCAGUGUGCAAUGUUGAUAUGAAUCUCAAAUCGUUUUAAAAUAGCUCUGGGAUCUGAUCAUGCUUAACUUUCUUUGGUACAUGCAUUUAGUUUUCUUUCUUCUCACUUUUUUUUUUUUUCUGGUAGGUUUCUCUGUAAUUGAUGUAACUUAUUCCUUUCUUGUAUAGGGUACAAAUGUGUCUUUUUAUGCAACUUUUGCUGCAGCAUCCUUAUUAUCAGAAGGAAAAGAAAGGACAUGUUAACAUAUAUUCAGUUGGUUUUUUUUGGUCAAAAAACACAAACAUGCAGAAUUCUUCAAAACUAACCCUGACUGGACAAAAUACCUUUCAUCUAAUGAAAUCAAACAUUCAUUUUUUUCCUCAUUCUAGCAGCAGAAUGUUUAACAACAUGCAAGCCCGAUUGAGUGCCAUACACAGACAUCUGUCCUUACAUGCAACAAGUCCAUCUACUGAUGAAACUACUUUUGUUCCCCCUCAUCGGUCCUCAUGUUCACGCUGCUUGGAGGCUGAGCAGAUGACAGCACACAGAAAGACCCCCAUUUACUGUGACUGGGGAUUACCACCUGGUUUUCUGCUUCCAUUAGAAACUGAGCCCUAGUAAUAGUAGGCAGUGUGUGUGUGCUCAGAGCCAAAACAACACAGUGUUCCUUCUCCAGCUGAGCAGGUCUCUAUUUUUUUGAUUUAUUUAUUUUAAGUAUUUUCAAGUACUCAAUUCUUUCUAAGAGAACCUCCAUUCUUUGCCUUAUUAAUUGCUCUUAUUUUUUCAAAGCUGAGUGAGAACAAGUCCUGUGGCUUAGGUCACACUCAGAAGGAUCUUAUUUACUAAUGCUCCUGGCAAACAAAUUAGUGAGUGCCCGAUUACUGAAUGAAUUAAUGAGGAUUCCCAGUUCACUAUGCAGUUAUUGAGCCUAGUGGCUAUGUUUGGUUUUCUUUUAUAUGCACAAAGUUUACAAAAUUGAUACUGCUCAUCUGUAUUCUUCCAUGUGCUAUUGAAACAAUGCUCUGGCCACUUUCCUUACAACUCUUUUCAGCUGCUUGGCAACAUGAGUCCAUCAAACAGCUGGUACCUUUGGAGAGCAUUAAAAGCUCUGUAGUUCAUGCUUGAUGCCCAUACCAGACGUACUGUAGUUCCUACUGACGGUUCUGGUCUCAGCGUGCCUUAAAAAUAGAUAUCUUUAUAUUUCAAAAAGACUAGCCUGUCAUGCACUUAAGUGUAUUUAACAUGUCACGGCAUGGUUUGAAUUUUAGUACCUUAACACUCUGUGGUUCCUUUUCUUUUAGCUCUGAACAUUAAAAUCAGAUCCUUCUUACUUCCCUCCUUCCCACCAUGGUUUUAAUUUCAAUAUUUCCUUACUAUUAAAAAUACUGAUUUUAUUACACUGAUUCUGAAAUAGUGUAUCCAGCAGUAGGUACUUUUUUUCCUGAGUGCCUGUAAGCGAGUGUUCAUGAAGCUAUGCACAUGUACGGCUUGCCUGUGAGUACACUGUAGUGAGGACUUUCACUUGAGCCAAAUAAAACCAGAGCAUCUUUGAUUUGGUUUCAUUAUUGAAAAACACAUUGUUACAAAUAACAUUUCAGUGUGAAUGAACCGGAGAGCAUUAGGGAACUUAGAAUAAGUCUUGAGACGAGGAGGUAAGACAGAAUACAAAGGUUAUCUCGUCUCUUUCAAAACCUAGAAGGAAGAGACUGGAGUGUGUAAGUACGUGGAGUGAGACUGCUUGUAUGUAUUUUCCAAACACACUUAAUGUCUUAUGUUUCCCCAUUUGAAUAAACGAGUAUCCAAAGAUUAGUAAGGGAUCUGUUACAUCCACUUCAUCUCCUGAUUUUGGAAGCUGAAAGUUUGUUUACUGCUUGGGGACACAGAAGGAGUAUUUUCCAUUCAGGGUCCUCCCUUUUCUCCUCCAUCUUUCCCAGAAAAUGUUGGGAUUCCCAGAAUAAAUUCAUAAUUGUGGAGCAGCUCUCACAAUGCAGCCAUUUGCCUGCAGCUGAUUUUCUUGGUCAGAGGCUGAUCUGUGCAGGGGCUCUCUUUGCAGACAUGCCCAUCCACAGCAGUCUGGUGAAGCAGGACAGGUUACUGGAGAAAAUGCAGCAAAAAUCUGAACCAUCAUCCAACAGUCCUCUGCUUUGCUUUGGGGCAGGCAAUGGGGCCUUGCAGGUAUGUUUGGAAGGAAAACCCCUAGCCAAUGGUUAUUAGGGAAGCUGACUGAGGAGGGCUGCUUGUUCCCAUACAUCUUCGUGUCGUUCCUACCCCAGACAGAAACCACCCCAACCUCUCUCCUGCCAUUCAGUUACCUCAGUGUCUCCCCCACAUCUCUGCAGCCGUGGGUUUGUUUGUUUCCUGGAAGGAGGAGCAAGAGGGUGCACCAUAGAGUGCCCUGCUGCAGUGCGUUCCAUAGAAAUAGAUUAAGACAAAGCAGUCAGCAAUAAUUGCAAAAUAACCCUGCUCUGGAAUCAGGCAAGCUGCCAAAGAGCAUUUAUGCAAAAAAAAAAAGAAAAAAAAAAAAAAGUAGGAGAAUCAGUACUCCCAAACAAACAGCUUCUUUUCAAAGUCAGAGUCAGUGCAGCCACCGCCACACACUGAGACAUGCUGCUCUUCUUCAGCAGGCUUGAGCUGUCAAAUGCAUGAUACCCUUUUGGUGUUAGUACUGUCAUUGUCGCUGGCAGGACCAUGAGGCGGUGCAGGUCUGAAAUUCAGCACCAUGGGAGAUGUGCUACGUUUGGGUCAUUAAACUGUCUUCUCUGGGUCUGCCCUCCCAGACAAGAGGGAAGGCAGUGUUAUCAGGAGGUGCUGCCUGCUGGAGCAUGGGGUGCCCUCUGGAUGGCAGGACCUUGGCUCUACCAAACAGCCCCACGCCCUCAGAACAGAAAACUCAAUGUUCUGUAUUCUUAUGGCUUGGAACAAGCAGAUAUUUCAUUACAAACUGUACAUUUCUAAAUGGAUCUGUCUUGCACAACAUCACUAUGCAUUUAGCAAUUCACUCUGAUUAUCGCUUUAUGACAUUUUGCAUCUGCUUCUGUUAAGGCAGUGAAGUUACUGUAUAUUUUCUUUGAGUUGUUUCAUUUUAAAAUAAAUUGUUUCUGUGCCUGGCUGUCAACAGCUGCAUUUCUCAUUUUAUGCAUUUAAUGUAUGCUCAUUUUCCGCAGUGUGUCCCAAUACUAUAGCUCAGCUUCUAACUUGAGACCACAGAAAUCUUUCAAUUAAGCUCACAGAUCAUCUGUUCUUCAAGGUUUUUACCCAGACUCGUGGAAUUUAAUCUUGAUUAACAAAUAAUUCAUCUUAACCCCUGGUAAAAGCGUUGCGGCUGUUAGGGGAUCUUUAGGGGAUUUUCUCAGCAUGCCCAAGAGCUUUGCAGCCAGAAGAACUGGUACCUGUGGGUGACGUAUAGGGCUCCUGAGAGUCAGCUGGUGUCACCCCAUCCAUCCUUUACCCAGAUACUCGUGUCAGCAGCCAACCUCAGGUGGGACCAGCAGAUCUAAGUAUGGGACGCACACAGUGAGGGAGAUGGGGAUUCAAACUCACCAGGGUGUGGUAUGUAACCACGGUGCUGCUUAGCACAGUAUGAAAAGCCAUAUCGUAUUAACAAAAUAAUGAAAGACCCAAGAAAAACUUAGAAUAAGGUUAUGAUAUUUUUAAAGGCAGCAUUCUUGUGAGCUUAUUUUCAUAAUUCCAAAUAAGAUGCAUUUUUUCUGUGAAGUGUUUCAGUCAGUUUUGAAAUAAUGGUAUUCAGUGUACAAAAUACUGUCUAACGAUCUCAGUUAUAAUAUCUACUGAAAGCAGUUGACCACAAAGUUUCUGAUGCUGAUAGUUUCCUGAUUUCUUUUUCCCAUGGUUCAUCAGCUCCCUUUUUUAAGUGUGAACUGGUGAUCUCUUGUUUAUUUUUCUCUCUAAGUUGUAACUGUGGGAAUUUAACCUGGUCCUGGACGCUGUUGUACAGUGCUACAGACCUGGGCUGGCUGGCAUACUUUGACACUGAUGUGCAAUUACUCAGCUGCUAAACGACUGAGCAUUCCUCUAUGCUCUGCAUCACUCUUCUGCUGCUUUAACAACAUUCAAGGCGGUAAUUAAUAAUUAGCCAUAUGUUGAUAUCUGGUUAGUUCAAAUACCCUGAAAAAAUGCCUGGGCAUCUAUUAUCAGCUUGAACAAACUCAAAGAUUUAAGUACCUUGGGUGGAAAAAUUGAUAUGUGUCUAUGUGAAAUGAGGAAGUUUUCUCACAUUGCUGCAUGUGCCAGCAAUGUAUGGCAGCUGACAGGCUGCUGCCAGCAGCGGCUUGCUUCACCAACCAGCGCCCGUACAAUACUCCAUGCAGAAAGGCUUGAGCAAAGCACCAGUAAUGCGUAAAGUAAUUUUCUGUACCAAGGAGAACACGGGCACCUCAGUUAAAUACUUGUUAAAGUAUUGUUUUGAGACUAGAAACCAGCACAGGCAGAUGUUGUCCUCUAGAAGAAAUGUGAAGCUGUGAAUGACUGCAGGGGUGACAAGGCACGCCGGUCCCUGAAUGGUGUUGUGUCAGGAGAGCUGUGCUGACUCUCACCCAUGGUGCGGGUUGAGCCCUGUGGGCUGCCGGUUGCAACAAAGGCUUAAUUCAUGUUUUUUCUUCCUCGAAGGGAGCAAGAGAAAGAAACAUAAGUAAAAUGUAGCAAAAACUGUUGUGAAACAGGCCGUCGCUGUUCUCUGAAAAACAAGUGGGUGAGGACUCAUUUUUGGAGAUCUUUUCAGAGCAGCAGCACGGUCACCAGCUCUGUUCCUCCAGGGGCGGUCGCUGCCUCAGGAACACCGAGGACUGGAAUCAGCUGCCUUCUUAGAAGAGGACGUGGUGCUGACCGUGUGCCACAAAACAUGGCUGCUGUACAAAACCACAAGCUAUUUCCCACUCAGAGGCAAAAUGCUUAAUAGUAGCUGUUCUUGCAGUAAUUGGAAAAGUAAUUCCAAUUCCCAUUUUUCUGGAAAAAAUAUCCCUGCUUGCAACUUGUCUUCUUGAAGAGCAGUUUGGAAAUCAGGCCAGCUGAUCUGACAAAAGCUCAGAAGCCAUUGGAAUGAAAUGUAUUCUUCGCUCAGCUGGAGUCAGAACACCACGGUCUAUUACUGAGUGCUGGUUAGUGAAAAAUCAAAUCAUACCAAUUAUUCUAAUUUAUUAUAUUACAUUUGAGAUUUUAUUGUCAAAUUUUAUUGCAAAGACCUCUCCCUCACCGAUGGUACUAAGUGAAACACUCGGACAUGUUAAGGUUGACAUGAGAAAUGUUAUGAACUGGUGUGACUAGACAAGAAACAAAACAAGAUAUUGUACCUGGAGCCAUGGUGUAAAUUAAACUAUGGCUAAUUCUUAAAAUGCUUUGCCUACAGUGCAAGAACAGAUUCACCAUCAUCUGAAGUCUUACACAGUCAUCCAAAGAAGUGGAAAAAUAGGCGUGUCUAUUGUAUUUCCAGGAAAUUACCAAUAUUACCUAUAAGCAGUGGUAGCAACUCCACAGUUUCCUGUGAAAGUGAGGCCUCUGCUACUCUAGGGGCAAGAAGCACAUGCAGGAAGAGAUAUUUCUGGUCAAAACCUUGCAGUCUAAAGGAGUCUCCUUGUACAAAUCUGCUGCAGACUCAUGUUACUGCAGCAGUGCAGCACAACAGAUGUUCUUUGGCCAAAUCAUCCGGUGUCUCUGCCUCCUCUGCUGUGAAGUUGUACUUUGGCACUUCCUUUGCCAAUGUGCAUGAGCAGAAACCGUGUGGGAGAAUAGGAAGCACUAACCUGAUGUCACUGUUCACUGUAUGGGCAAUGCAGGAGAUCCCUGACCUAGAAGUUUACAAAGACAAGUCUCCACGGGCCUGUAAUGGGUUGAGAUGAACCAGACAAAGGUGUGACAUGGCAGCCAUAGCAUUUUUCAGCAGUAUCUUCUUACAAACCAGCAGUAGACACAGUUGUCUGAGAGCAUCGAGGAACUUGGCCUGUGCUGAUUUGAGCAGAAAACAUAGCAAACAGGAAGAAAGACAGAUAGAGCCCAGAGGAGGCAAAGUGGCAAGCUUCUUUUCCCUACUUUCUCUUAUGGACAGCAUCUACUUCCUUUUAUGGACAACAUCUGUUUCCUCUUAUGGUCGAAAAACAUCAGCUUGAGUAAAAACACCAUCUUGAGUAACUCUACUGGUUGAAAAACACUGGUUUGAGUAAUUCACUGAGGAGGAGGCAUGACCACCAGAGGUCCUCGCUGAAAACUCUUGGAUCUUCUAGAACACCUACCCGCGCAGACAGAGCUGGGAGGGGACAGAAUCAGGACAGGUGACUUUAAAUGGUGAAAGGAAUAUUCCGUGCCAUAUGAUAUGAUGCAGAAGGAGAGCUUUGAAGGGGGUUGGGAGUUCAUCUCUCUCUCUUCCACUGCUAGGAGUCUAGCUGGGUAUUGGUCAGUUGGUGGUGAGCAAUUGCUUGUACAUCACUUGUCAUAUGCACUUAUAUAUGUGUGUGUGUUUGUGUAUGUAUGUGUAGUCAUAACUGUUAUUCUUUUUCUUUUAUCUGUCUUAGAAAAUAAUUUUAUCUCAACCCAUGAGUUCUACUUUUUAUUUUUUUUGCUUUCUGAUUCUCUCCCCCAUCUGACUGGGAAGGACAGGGUGUGAGUGGAUGACAGUACUGUGCUUAGCUGCCUGACAGAUUAAACCACAACAAAUGUGUAUUGACUGUUGUUAGAAAGUUAUCCAGUUUUGCCUCACACUUGUUGAUUACUGUUAGAAAGCUCAGUAAAUUGCCUUGUAUUUUUUCUGAGUCAUUGUCAUGACCCUAUCACUCCUGCAGCCCUGCUGAGCAGGAAGUGCCCAGUGUGGGGGAUUCCAAAUAUUCACCUCUCUCACAAGCCACUGAGUGGGAUGAGAGAACAGUUGAGACUUGAUUUGCACUACUGCUUAUUCCAGAGGUGCACUCACGUUGAAUAAGUUUGGUUUGUGGAUACAAGCAGCUGCUAGAGUAGUCAAGCUGACUUGAAGGACAACUGCAGUGCACAGUGGACUCCUUGUCAGCAUAUGUGGGCUUGAUGAGUUCUAGAGGGUGCCUGUGAUCUCAGAUGUGAAAAUGAACAUUCAUUUAGUGUCCAAUUGAAAGGUUAACUCCAGUUGACCAACCAAACAUAUCCAUCAAUAGAAAACAACUGAUAAUGUUUUCUAUGAUUCUUAGCAGCAGCACUGACAAAUUUCACCACAGAGAACAGUUCUGUUGAUUUUGGCAGCGCUCUUUGACCCUCGAGAAAGUAGUUAUUGCAGUAAUUUUUAGUGCUGAUUUAUUUUAAGGUGGUUACUCCAAUAUUUUGAAGCUCAGUAGUUAAAAUAGUGGGAAAAGCAUGGGAGUGCACUUCUUGCAACUGGAUGAACCGUAUAGAACUUCAUUGUAUUGCUCAUACCUACCUAUGUUGUUGUUACUGCAGGUGCCUUAGCAUGCCGUGCCAGUGGUUUCUUGCAAGAGCAUCAGAACAAAAUUAUAAAUGGAAGUCAGGAAGCAAUAACUGAAUGUCAAAUAGCUUUAUGUGAGGUCACAAAAAUAAUUUGGAACAUACAGAGUUACGGGCUUCAGGUUUUCUUAUAUGUAUAGAUCUGUGUACAUGUGUAUUCUUAUAUAUAUAUAUAUAUAUAUGUAGGACAUUGAAAGUAAUGCCUCCUAUUUAUUUCCAUGGAAAUAACAGAUACAAAGAGCACCAAUAGCACUGUUUGAUAGAGUGAAUUCUCAACUACAAAAUGCUAUUUUUCAACAUGGUCACCACCAUUAGCUGUGCAUUUUCACCAGUGAUGAACAAGAGCCUGCUUAUGUGAGUCUGCGUCAGUGGAGGUGACGAACUGUUGCUGUUGCCACAGCUGAAAUGCACCACCCACCGCCUCACUGUGUUGACAUCCACAGUUCGGUCUUCAUAAAUAUUCAGCAAAUGUCAAUGAAUGUCAAUGGGUGCCAAUUUUUGUGCGUGGAGGAAUUCAUUGACGCAUCUUUGCUUCAUAUGCGCUUCCAUGUCAUACUCCAUUCUGUUAGACUGCCCCUACGCUGUCAUCGGUCGCACAGCAACGUAACGUAAUAUAAUACUGAUGGGAAGGUUAAUCCUGUACUGUCAUAUAUCCAACAUCUAUCUCUAGCAUUGCAGGCAACUAAUUAAAAUAGGAGGCAUUAGUUCUGGAACAGCCCUUGUAUACAUGUGUGCCACAGAAAGCCACUAAAUGAAAUCAUACUAUAAUAUAAUAUAAAUUAAUAUAAAUUCUGCAAGAAAAUGGAGGAAUUUCUGUCUUCGUAUUUUGCAAAAAUGUUUUUGUUAGACCGCUGCAUCAUAUCUUUAAAAGUGACUUUUAUUCUGAAUGUGCCAAAACCCAUUAACUUUUCAUGAGACCUUUCGAAACAGGAUUUAAACUUUUCAAUCCAAUUGCAACAUAUUUUAUUUGAAUGCACAUGCUGAAACAUAAAAUGAUGAAAACAAUUAUUCCUGGAAGGUAUUAAAAGGUUGAUCUGUAUACAUAAAUUAAAUUAGGGCUCUGGCAAAGGUGCAUUACAAGCAAACAGAUGCAGUAUAAACAUCAUUCCUUCGUACUCCUCUAGCAUCUAGUGCCAAGGUCCUCUAAUCAUUUUAAGUCUCUUCAGACUGUUGCUGUGAGAUAGCCUGCCUGUACUCAAUUACACAAAUAUUGGGAGGUUAAAAAAAUCAUUCAGAGUGCAAAAGUGAAUGCUUGAGAAAGUCAGAAAAAGAAGGUCAACACAGAAGACAGUGAAGGCUGCAGGAGCUGUGGUCCCAGGGACUGGCUGUUCAAAUGCAUGAGCAACAAGGAGAAACCUUAGGGGAACUUUACUGCCAAGAAGUCUAAAGGCAUUUCAACAGCACAUUUGUGGAGAAUAAUUUUGCAAAGACUUAUAAACUGACCAAAUUGGGAAGGUUUUCCUGGGAUUAGCGAAAGAUUCAGCCUUGCCAUGAAAACUACUUUUCUGCCAGACUUGAUGUUCUGCUACAAAGCAUACUUUUCCUAAUGGAAUAAAUGUUACCAAUGUUUCUUGGAUAUUCAUGUUGUUAAAUAACAACAAUAACCACACCGAAACAGCUCUCCAACAUGGAAAAUUUCUAUAUUUACACAGGGCAAUGCUAGCUGAAAAUCAAGGUGUCAAAACAGGAAGAAUGAGGCAACCCAGCAGUGGUCAGCAUUACCUAACCACUAUGCUGUGGACAUGCAUCCUGCUUUCUCAAGUGCUCAGGCUGUGCCCUCAGAUGACACAAAGUGGAAAUGGUGUCCAACUCGAGCUGCUCAUCACCAAAACAUGGUGCUGGAAGCAACCAGGCCUUCUGAGGUCCUCCUGCCCACUGGAGUGCUAUGUGCAGCCUUAGGGACACAGAUAUUGCUGGACCAAAGCUUGAUGCUGUGGUGGUGGAUACUGCACCAUCCAAAACCUCCACCCUUCAAAGCAAGCCAUACAGUAGUGGAACAGCUUCUACCUACUGCUCUCCCACACUGGGGUGGGAAGAAACCAGGAGGAUGGGGACAAGUGGCUGAGAGAGCUUUGCAAGGAGCAACUGCAUGUGAGGAGGAGUCUUGCUUGGCAAGUUGCCAUCGACACUCGGUACUGCUAUGUACCUUCUGCAUGGAGACUGCAGAAACCUUGCGAAGCUCCAUGGUUGCUGCAAAGCUGAACUGCGAGUCUGCAUGGUGUGCAUGGUGGUGCCACUAGAUGUCCCUUGUCACCCAAGUGAUGUUGGUGGCUCAUCCCCAGUGCUAUAUGAUGUAGCACUGUAAAGAAAUCAGUGUUUAAAGCAUUCGAUAUAGAGAGAUGUUGUGGCUGUCUCAAAAAGAAGACUUGUGUUAUCCUCAGAAAGCUGACAUCUUGGCGAGGACAUCUGUGCCACUCAGCAUGCCUAUGCCCUUGCACAGCUUCACCUGGGCUUCUGUGGAGUGAUUCCUGCUCGCCCUUGUCCCCCAUGGUGCUCUGUGCACCUACCAUUGCUGUAUGAGUAGGGGGAUGCGCCUGUCCCCAUGCUGCCCUGAAAGCUUCUGUGCCGUGUUAUCAGCCCCAGGAUGUGUCGCUGCAGUGUGUGAUCGCGCAGACCAUGCUGUUGAGUAUUCAGAGUCACAUACGCUCGCCUGAAUGACUGAAAUGAAGUAUUUGCUGCUUUCUACUUCAUUUAAACCUGCGGGAGCUGGUAGUGCUCAUCCUCCCCACACACUGAGGUAUCCACACGUGCCACUUGCCAGCCUGGGGCUUCUUCCCCAAGCAAUGGCUGAGCAAAUCUCUUAAUAACAGAGCAACUACUCGCAGAUUAUUGUGAUCAUAAUUUGGCUGACAUAGCCUUUAUUACUAAUGGCAAUGCUGGAAAUGGAAAACCCAGCUUGAUGCUCAGCUCCCUGCUGGAAAGUAAUAAAAUAAAGAGGAACAAAAUCA